AUUGAACGCUGGCGGCAUGCCCUACACAUGCAAGUCGAACGGCAGCACGGGAGCAAUCCUGGUGGCGAGUGGCGAACGGGUGAGUAAUGUAUCGGAACGUGCCUUGUCGUGGGGGAUAACGUAGCGAAAGCUACGCUAAUACCGCAUACCAUCCAAGGAUGAAAGCGGGGGAUCGCAAGACCUCGCGCGACAAGAGUGGCCGAUAUCAGAUUAGGUUGUUGGUGGGGUAAAGGCCUACCAAGCCGACGAUCUGUAGCUGGUCUGAGAGGACGACCGAGCCACACUGGGACUGAGACACGGUCCGACUCCUACGGGGGCAGCAGUGA
rnacentral:rRNA from 1 species